GCCCUGUGGUUAACUGGUCCUGUUAUUUCAAUGCAGUGUACCGGUUUUUGAUAAAAGGGCAGACAGAGAUACUGUGAUGAACUGCAUGGGAUCUGCAUUUGUUUAGUGGUUCCCAUAGCCCGGCCACAGUAACACCC